rnacentral:sRNA from 1 species
GCCGGGUAUGGUGGCACACGCCUGUAAUCCCAGCGAUUUGGGAGGCUGAGAUAAGAGAAUCACGAGUUCAAAGCCAUCCUCAGCAACUGGAAGGCACUAAGCAACUCAGUGAGACCCUAUCUCUA